GAUGAACGCUGGCGGCGUGCCUAAUACAUGCAAGUCGAGCGAACAGACGAUGAUCUUGCUCCGCUCACGUUAGCAACGGGCGGGUGAGUAACACGUGGAUAACCUACCUAUAUGACUUAGGUAACUGCGACAAACCGGAGCUAAUACCGGAUAAUUGAUUGAGCCGCAGGGUUGAAUAGUGAAAGACGGUUUUGCUGUCACCUAGCGAUGUAUCCGCGCAGCAUUGGGUAGUUGGUAAGGUAACGGCUUACCAAGGCGCCGAUGAGUAACCGACCUGAGAGGGAGAUCGCCCAAACGGGAACUGAGACACGGUCCAGCCUAGUAAGGGAGGCAGCAGUAGCGAAUCUUACGCAAUGGGAGAAAGGCUGACGGAGCAACGGCGCGAGAGUGAUGCAGCUCUUCGGAGCGUAAAACUCUGUUAUUAGGGAAGAACAAAUGUGUAAGUAAAGAUGCACGUCUUGAGGGUACCGAAGCAGAAGGCCACGGCUAACUACGU
rnacentral:rRNA from 1 species